rnacentral:rRNA from 1 species
GAUGAACGCUGGCGGCGUGCCUAAUACAUGCAAGUCGAGCGAACAGAUAAGGAGCUUGCUCCUUUGACGUUAGCGGCGGACGGGUGAGUAACACGUGGGUAACCUACCUAUAAGACUGGAAUAACUCCGGGAAACCGGGGCUAAUGCCGGAUAACAUUUAGAACCGCAUGGUUCUAAAGUGAAAGAUGGUUUUGCUAUCACUUAUAGAUGGACCCGCGCCGUAUUAGCUAGUUGGUAAGGUAACGGCUUACCAAGGCAACGAUACGUAGCCGACCUGAGAGGGUGAUCGGCCACACUGGAACUGAGACACGGUCCAGACUCCUACGGGAGGCAGCAGUAAGGAAUCUUCCGCAAUGGGCGAAAGCCUGACGGAGCAACGCCGCGUGAGUGAUGAAGGUCUUCGGAUCGUAAAACUCUGUUAUUAGGGAAGAACAAAUGUGUAAGUAACUGUGCACGUCUUGACGGUACCUAAUCAGAAAGCCACGGCUAACUACGUG